rnacentral:misc_RNA from 1 species
AUUUAACAGACCUUAAUCAUAAUGAAAAUCCUUUGACCAAUCACGAUUGUAUUUGUCACCAUUUAUGGGCAAGGACCAAAUGUACAAAAAUAUUCCCUGGAAUUGAUACACAUGUCCUCAAGUACAUUUAAUUGUCAAUUUUCCAUUAGACAUUAAAUUUGGGCUCAGGUAUGUUAAAUUGCCAAUACAUAUUAAAAUUUGGUCCCCUUCAAGAAAAUGCUGAUAAUUACAAGCAAAACAACCCAAAAAUGAUUGCAGAUAGAAUUUUAAUGGACAGAGCUGAAUAUGAAAGUUACACUAAGAGAGAAGAAUGAGAAAAUCAGGAAAGAAGAAGAAGAAGAAGA